AUGUUUUUUAUAUCACAAUCCCGUGUCACUCUUUUUCUAUUGUUUCAAAACUAUUCCAAAUUUCACUUUCCAACAAAUACCUCUCUCUUCACCCCACACCCUUUCCCACUCUCUUUAUCUAAAGUCACCGUUCUAUUGAACUGGAAAUGGAAAGCAACUUGAAUUUGGUGGAAUGAAGACAAAUGGAAAAGCUAUUUUCAUCCAUACACUUAUCUUCUUUGCGCUCUAUGCUGUUAUCAUUUUGGCUCUUCGUGUUCAUAUCUAUACUGGUUGAUUUGGUUGCUUGAUCUAGAUCUGGGUUCUUUUAAGAAGGUAUUUUAGUUUAGUUUAUCUACCAAAAAAGUUCUAUGUUAUUGUUACUGAAUGGUGUUUAUUUGGAGUGUGUGAGUCUAUCAAUAAUAAUGAAAUAAAAGUAGAGUUUUUUUUAUGAUUGAAAUUGUGUUGCUAAAUUGUUUAAUUAUUUAUAAAAAAUCUAGUGUGAUUUUAGAUUUGAA